ensembl:lncRNA
CUGGCAAGCUUUUUUCUUCUUUGUAAUACGUUUUUGGAAGCUAUUGUCCAAGUCAUUGUUAUUAAGAGUUUGUAACUAUAAUGUUUUAGUCUGAUGCUAGCUAUGAAAAUCGAUUUGGUAAAGUUAUUUUCCAUACAGUCGGUAUAGAGCCAUAGCUAGCUAACGCACUUUUGUACAUCGCGGUUUAGCUCUCAAAAAAACGUAAUACUUCUAGGUCAACUGUAAUAUGAUAACCAUUGUAAAGCACAAUUUCUCUCCUUUCCAGAAAAAUCAGCGAUGAGGCCUUCUUGCUGCCGGUCUCUGCAUGAUUGAAGAAGGCAAUGAGCUCCAUCGGGUCUUUUUAAAAAUGGCGGAUGGGGAGACAAGCCGUGUGGGCUGCAAUCCACUCCCAGUUAGACGGGGUCUGUUCAGGCCUCUGUCAGCUCCACAAUGCCCUGGGGGACAUGAAGGACAUCCAGAACUCUGGCAGAAGUCAGCAAUGACUGGAGGCAAGGCAUCAACACCAUUGAACGUGCAGUAUGUAAAAUAUGCUGGGAUGCAACACAGUCAGCUAACCUCAGCCAUGGAGAACUUGGAAGAAUAUAUUUUCAGGUAUGUUCAGCUGCACCCAUUACAUGCCAUUUGGUUGGGAACUAUUAUUGUUGGCUUGCAUUGCAUUUGAUGUGAGACUGUACUGCUACAUUGUAUUAGUGUAUUGUCCCUCAACUGGGUCCUCAAUUAAUACUUACAAAAGUAUGUCUGUACUGCUCUCGGUGACUCAUGUAUAGGGCCCUGUGUUUUGGUUAACAGUUUCACUAAGCAGCUACCCUCAUACAACUUGUUUGAAGGUGAAAUCACAGUAGGAGAAAACCUAAGAUUUUAGUUACAGCAGCACACUGACAUUAUAAAAGGCAAGAGGUUGAAUGGGCCAACAUGAAGGGUGACUACCUCAUGAAGCUGGUUGAGAGAAUGCCAAGAGUGUGCAAAGCUGUCAAGGCAAAGGGUGACUACUUUGAAGAAUCUCAACUAUCAAAUAUAUUUUGAUUUGUUUAACACUUUUUUUGUUUACUUCAUGAUUCCAUAUGUGUUAUUUCAUAGUUUUGAUGUCUUCACUAUUAUUCUACAAUGUUAAAAAUAGUCAAAAUAAAGAAAAACCCAUGAAUGAGUAGGUGUGUCCAAACUGGUACUGUAACUCCAAAUAAAACAUUUG